rnacentral:rRNA from 1 species
UUAAUUAAUUAUUAUCAGCGCGGCCUAUCAGCUUGUUGGUGGGGUAAUGGCCCACCAAGGCAUCGACGGGUAGCUGGUCUGAGAGGACGAUCAGCCACACUGGGACUGAGACACGGCCCAGACUCCUACGGGAGGCAGCAGCAGGGAAUCUUGCGCAAUGGACGAAAGUCUGACGCAGCGAUGCCGCGUGGGGGAUGACGGCCUUCGGGUUGUAAACCCCUUUCAGGAGGGACGAAAAUGACGGUACCUCCAGAAGAAGCCCCGGCCAACUACGUGCCAGCAGCCGCGGUAAUACGUAGGGGGCGAGCGUUGUCCGGAAUUAUUGGGCGUAAAGAGCUCGUAGGCGGCUCGGUAAGUCGACUGUGAAAGCUCCGGGCUCAACUCGGAGACGCCACCCGAUACUGCUGUGACUAGAGUCCAGUAGAGGAGCGUGGAAUUCCUGGUGUAGCGGUGAAAUGCGCAGAUAUCGGGAGGAACACCAGUAGCGAAGGCGGCUCUCUGGGCCGGUACUGACGCUGAGGAGCGAAAGUGUGGGUAGCAAACAGGAUUAGAUACCCUGGUAGUCCACACCGUAAACGUUGGGCACUAGGUGUGGGGAGGAAUCAACCCUCUCCGUGCCGUAGCUAACGCAUUAAGUGCCCCGCCUGGGGAGUACG